CCUACGGGUGACAGCAGUGGGGAAUAUUGCACAAUGGGGGAAACCCUGAUGCAGCGACGCCGCGUGAGUGAAGAAGUAAUUCGUUAUGUAAAGCUCUAUCAGCAGGGAAGAAAAUGACGGUACCUGAGUAAGAAGCCCCGGCUAACUACGUGCCAGCAGCCGCGGUAAUACGUAGGGGGCAAGCGUUAUCCGGAUUUACUGGGUGUAAAGGGAGCGUAGACGGCAGUGCAAGUCUGGAGUGAAAGGCGGGGGCUCAACCCCGCCGAGCCGUCGGAACUGGGGGCCUUGAGUGCGGCGGAGGCAUGCGGAAUGCGCGGUGUAGCGGUGAAAUGCAUAGAUAUUGCGCAGAACCCCGAUUGCGAAGGCAGCGUGCCGUGCCGCCACUGACGCUGAGGCACGAAAGCGCGGGGAUCGAACAGGAUUAGAUACCCGUGUAGUC
rnacentral:rRNA from 1 species